UACGUAGGGUCCGAGCGUUGUCCGGAAUUAUUGGGCGUAAAGAGCUCGUAGGCGGUCUGUCGCGUCGAUCGUGAAAACUUGGGGCUUAACCCUGAGCUUGCGGUCGAUACGGGCAUGACUGGAGUUCGGCAGGGGAGACUGGAAUUCCUGGUGUAGCGGUGAAAUGCGCAGAUAUCAGGAGGAACACCGGUGGCGAAGGCGGGUCUCUGGGCCGAUACUGACGCUGAGGAGCGAAAGCGUGGGGAGCGAACAGG
rnacentral:rRNA from 1 species